GUCCCAGGGAUGAUCCAAAGGCACGCGCAAAGAUUUUAUCGGAGGAAUUUGGUUGGGAUAAGGACCUUGCAAAGAAGAUAUGGUGUUUUGGUCCUGAGACUACUGGACCAAACAUGGUGGUUGAUAUGUGUAAAGGAGUGCAGUACCUGAAUGAAAUUAAGGACUCUGUUGUUGCUGGGUUCCAAUGGGCAUCAAAGGAAGGAGCACUGGCUGAAGAAAACAUGAGAGGUAUCUGCUUUGAAGUCUGUGAUGUGGUGCUCCACACUGAUGCUAUUCAUAGAGGUGGUGGUCAGAUUAUUCCAACUGCUAGGAGGGUUAUCUACGCAUCACAGCUUACAGCCAAGCCAAGGCUUCUGGAACCUGUUUACUUGGUGGAGAUCCAAGCCCCAGAGCAGGCACUUGGAGGUAUCUACAGUGUUCUUAACCAGAAACGUGGGCAUGUCUUUGAGGAGUUACAGAGGCCUGGUACCCCAUUGUACAACAUCAAGGCAUACCUACCGGUUAUUGAGUCCUUUGGAUUCUCAAGCACUUUGAGGGCUGCCACAUCAGGACAGGCCUUCCCACAAUGUGUGUUUGAUCAUUGGGAGAUGAUGUCUUCUGAUCCAAUGGAGGCUGGUACACAAGCAUCAACUCUCGUGGCGGAGAUUCGCAAGAGAAAGGGUUUGAAGGAGCAGAUGACUCCGCUAUCUGAGUUCGAGGACAAGCUGUAAUCAUUUGUUGAGUGAGUGUGAAGAUGAUACGACAAUGUUUUUGCUGCCUUUUUGUUUUUG
rnacentral:lncRNA from 1 species